UGGCUCCAGCUGUGGUAGGAACUUUUAGUGUGGCAAGACAUCUAUACUCUUCAUGCUUGGAUCCUUUCUACAUCUGCCGUCUGUCAGGAACUCAAAUAUUAUGCAAAGGAAACUUGAAAAUCACAAGACUGAGCUUUUCACUUUCAAGUGAAGUUGAGGGUAGGAGGAAAGGCACAUCACUUGCGAGUGGGAGACUUGAGGAAGGAAUCCAGCACUGUCAGCAAGGCGGAGUUGAAAGCACAGAGAUAUCAAGAGUGGCUUAUAAAAUCCCUCAAGAGAAGCUGCUAGAGAGGGAACCAGAAGUUACUAAAAUUGGCAUGAGAAGGUGGCCAUGACAUGGAGACAGGUAAACACAAUGAUCAUUAAAAUACUGGUUGAAACAGAGUCUACUUUGACUUCGUCAAACACUUUGGUCAACUACCUGGUCGUUUAACUGCCCGCUGACUGGGAGAACAAUGUUGCUACUCAAAUCUUAUCUGGUUUCACUGGGGACGAGUUGCCGAGCAACCAGUUAGACCAAAAGCAUGCUGAAGAAUGUGAAUGCCACCUCCCUGCAAAGAAGUUUGUCCUUCAUUGCAUCGCCAUCAAGCAUACUGCCUUCUCCUGUAAACACCAGUUGACAUUUGCCUGUUGGGGAAGAAGGGAAAUUCCACCAUGGCAUUAGGGAAAAAAAAAGCCUUUGAAGCACUGGUUGCCCAGAGGGACUGAGGAAUCUCCAUCCUUGGGCAUAUUUUCAACUUGACUGGAAAAGAUCCUGAGCAGCAUGUGGUAACUCAGCUCCAUUCUGAGCAGGGGGCUGGAGCGGGUGCUCUCCAGGGGUCCCUUUUUUUCUAUCAACAAUCCUUGCAUCGCUAGUUUUUUGCCAUCCCUGUGCGGGACAGCCCUGGUGAUAGUAAAUAUCUGUGAGCGACGGUCCAUCGGUGAAACCUCUGCUCUGCUGGAGAACGUGGCAGCCAUCCACAUCAUUUCUAAUCGGUUGAAGUCCCUUGUCAUUCAAGUCGAGACCAUAGCCCUGCGCAGGAGAAAGCACCGAGAAAGAGAGCAGCCUCUGCCAUGGAAAUGAAACCACGCAGCCUGUUUCUUCCACUGAGCGACUCCCAGCAGCAUCUUCCAAACUGGGAUGGAGCCUGGCUCUGGCCACCGAUGCCCCAAGGGGUGAGCCUGCCCCUGGUGCCCAGCCCGGGGGGGCUCCCACCCUGCUCCUGGUGCUGCUCCCCCGGGAGGGAGGAGGGAGGUCACGCCUGGGAGCAGGAGUGAAAGUCACAUUCAGAGAAGUGUGUGGAUUGAAAGAAGGAAACGGAUGGUGGGAAACAAAGCGCGGCCAAACCCCUGACUUUUUGCAAGUUAUAAAUACUGUACAAAAUUGUGAUUCUGACACCGGAAAAUGCUUUCUCCUGUUGUUCAAAGUGACUCCAGAUGCUGAUGCACUUAGUACACAGCGCAAGCAACCCGCCUGGAAUGAAAAAGCAAGAACCGUUUGAUCUCCCCUCGCUUGUUUUAGCAGCUGCCUGACUGUUUUUCCUCGUAUGUAAACUUCAAAGUCAAUCAGAGGUCAAAACUCUGGCCGAAGACAGAACAACGAAAACAAGGGUGACUGGCGAAUGCGAUGGGAAGAAGCAGAGGAGGUGGGUUGUAGAAUAUUGCCUGUUUCUGAACACAGCAGGGGGGGGAAUUAUCUACCUCGUGGACAUAACACUUAUUGAUCUGCACAUUUGAUGUAGUGGUCAAGGCCUGUUUGCUUGCCUGGAAAUGUGUCUCCCAGAGAAACGAAGGGUACGGCCAUGUACUGGAGGACUUGACAUUCUCUGGCUAUUCUUGGUUCAAGUGAUCUGGAAAUAGCUUAAUAGAUUACCGUAAAAAUGCUGGAGAAAAACAGCCUUUUACUGGUUUCUCUUGAAUGCAGAGGGCUUCAGGAGGGGGUACAGGUUUUGGUUCCUGAGUUGUUAUUUGCUAUUUCUGGUCAUAGGAAAAUCAAAGGAAAAGCAAGCCCUGGAGAGGCAGCUUCUGCAGCAGAGUGGCGUGGAGCAUUCUCUGUAGGCAUGUGCAGUCAUGGUACAGGAUGUGUCUCCAGUGUGCACUUACUUUUGUUUUUUGUUUUUUUUUUCCUUCAGGAGAACAUCUGCCUUUCCCUCCUUCAUCCGUCUGUGGAAUCAGGCCCCUGCUUGUGCAGAGCCCGGCAGAGGGCCACCAGCAAGAGAGAGUCCCCGAGGCAGCGGGCUGUAGCACUGCAGCUUGCCUGGCAGCUGGUGAAACAGCCUGCAGAAAUGGGGAACACCUUAGUGAUUCACACAUCCUCGCAGCAGCUCCUGCCAGCUGAGCCGCUGGAGAGGCCCCAGCAGAGCCAGAGGUGCAUUACACCCUGUACAUAUAUAUAUAUAUAUAUGGCCACAGCGGGUCCUUAGACUUAAUGCAGAGAUUACAGGAAUUUGUGUAAAUGAUGUAUGAGCGUAAUCUGUUCUGAAAAAAAUAAUGUAACCAACAAGGAGGAUGGAAAUGGGACCAGUGCCACCCUGCCUGUGGAGUGCAUCUCCCCCCAUCUUCCUAGCUUGUGGACACCUGCUUUUCCUGCAGAAGGCUUCAAAAUAUAUGUUUUCUACCGUAUGGGCCAGAACCAGAAGCCCUAAAUGUAGGAGGCCCCUCAGCAGUGUAAAUUGUAAGCAAUAUUACAGGGGUUCUGAAAAUGCCAAAGCAGACCUGAGGAUCCGUCUGCAGGACACUGGUGAUGAAAACAUCAGUUGCAAUGUAAAUCUAAAUUAUUUCAAGAAUUUCCCUUAACUAUAUUAGCUUGUAUUUGUUCCUUUUUGUACUCCCACAGCAAAUAAAAAAAAAAAAAAAGCCCAGGUUUUAGUUAGCUAAACAUCAGGCUGUGAGCCCUGGCACUGCAAGCAGUGCUGAGCGACACAGCUUUAGAAGAUGCAAGAAAGACACUUUUUUGCUUCAGGGAAGCAGAUGAGCUUUCCCAGGCUGCAUGAAUAGCAGGGAGAGGUGUAGCUCCCUGCUGGGUGGGAAAGAAGCUGUGACUGGGCUUCCUUGCGGCUCCUGGGAUGGUAAAUGACUAAGAGACCAACAGGAGGAAAUGUCACAGCCCAGCUGGCUGGUGUGAUAGGAAGAGCACACCUUUCUCCUACUAUGGGCCUCUUUGCAAUGGGUAAGAAGAGUUUCAGGAUUAAACUGCUUCCAAUUCCCCUUCUCUGGAGAUUUUCAAGACCCACCUGGAUGCAGUCCUGGGUAAUGUGCUCUGGGCAAUCCUGCUUUAGCAGGGGAGUUGGACCAGAUGAUCUCUAGAGGUCCCUUCCAACUCUGACAAUUCUGUGAAUCUGUAAUUCAAGGAAUACAUUUAAUGUAUGGCUUACUGUCCCUUGUUAACUUGACCAGAAGCAAAAUUAUUCUCUGUAGCUUCUCAUUCAGUGAUCUUUUUCUUCACAGUUCAAGGCCACUGAAGAUCAUGUUUUCCCUUAAAUAGUUUUCCACCAGUGUUCAUUUUAGCUGAGAGUAUUAAUUUUCAGAUGUGUUUCAAUGAGUUUUGCAAGAAUUAAAAUUUCACUCGCUUUAUUGACUGUUCAUCACAAAUCCACCUAAUCUCUGCCAUUAAUGCCAAAGGGAAGAAGAAUAAAAAAAAACCAAAACAGCAAGAAGUCAGUGUGAGAAAAGAAAGAAAAACUGUGAAGUGUCUCUGCAAAAAGCCAUGUAGGAAAGGGAUGUCAGUGGUGGAAAGAGAAGCUGAAAGGAUGCCGGAGAGAGCAGCUGGGAAACAAAAGAGGAGAAGCUGCCGGAGCAAAGCAGGCUGUGGGCGGCUGCGCUGGGAGGAAGGGGAAGCGGGAGCAGAAAUGGGAGCGGGGAGAUUAUGUUUGGUCUUUAAGCAGAGGAUGAGGAGCUUGAAGCGAAGAGUUAAGAGACAGGAAGGAAGCCAGUGAAGACAAAUAAAGAGUGGAGGGUGGUAUAGUUUAUGUAGUGAGAAAAAGAGAUUACCCUGCGCUGGGCAUCGUGCGCUGGUGGACUGCAUAAUGUAGAGUCAGCUUGAAGCAGGGGUUGCGAUUCUUCAGGAGAGGACCUAGAAGAGAAUACUGUGGCUUAAUUUUAAUCCUUUUUAACCCAGGGUCUCUCCAUAUAAAGGAUGGACAUUGUGUUGCCCUGAGGGCUAAGUGGAGUGCGUUGUGUUUUGUGCAUUGUCACUGAUUCUAAAUGCCUUUUGUGUUUUGGGGCUCUGAAAACAAAGGUCAAGUACUAGCAAAUUCUGUUUUCUGUGAGAGAUUUAAUUAAAUCCUAAGGACAAAGGCAGAGUACCAGAAACAGCUAUUGAGUGUGAAAGUUGUGUAAAUUUGCAUUACCAUUUCUCAAUAUCAGUUUGUACAUAGCUUUGUAAUUUGUUUUUUUGAGCAAUGACAGGAGAAUAAACAUUUAAAAAACCAA